UACGUAGGUGGCAAGCGUUGUCCGGAUUUAUUGGGUUUAAAGGGUGCGUAGGCGGCUUUGUAAGUCAGUGGUGAAAUAUGGCAGCUUAACUGUCAGGGUGCCAUUGAUACUGCGGAGCUUGAGUACAGAUGAGGUAGGCGGAAUUGACGGUGUAGCGGUGAAAUGCUUAGAUAUCGUCAAGAACACCUAUAGCGAAGGCAGCUCGCUGGGACGUUACUGACACUGAGGCGCGAAAGCGUGGGGAGCGAACAGG
rnacentral:rRNA from 1 species